GACGAACGCUGGCGGCGUGCUUAACACAUGCAAGUCGAACGGAAAGGCCCUGCUUUUGUGGGGUGCUCGAGUGGCGAACGGGUGAGUAACACGUGAGUAACCUGCCCUUGACUUUGGGAUAACUUCAGGAAACUGGGGCUAAUACCGGAUAGGAGCUCCUGCUGAAUGGUGGGGGUUGGAAAGUUUCGGCGGUUGGGGAUGGACUCGCGUCUUAUCAGCUUGUUGGUGGGGUAGUGGCUUACCAAGGCUUUGACGGGUAGCCGGCCUGAGAGGGUGACCGGCCACAUUGGGACUGAGAUGCGGCCCAGACUCCUACGGGAGGCAGCAGUGGGGAAUAGUGUACAAUGGGCGGAAGCCUGAUGCAGCAACGCCGCGUGCGGGAUGACGGCCUUCGGGUUGUAAACCGCUUUCGCCUGUGACGAAGCGUGAGUGACGGUAAUGGGUAAAGAAGCACCGGCUAACUACGUG
rnacentral:rRNA from 1 species